rnacentral:lncRNA from 1 species
GUGUUCUAUAUGUAUUAUGUAUGUAUGUAUGUAUGUAUUAUUAUUGCUGCCAAGAGGGUCUGAUGGCACGUAUGGGGUAGCGGGGGUGGGGGUGGGGGGACCCUAAGGGACAGAAAGUGCUUUAACUUUUCUUAAGGUUUUGUUGCUAGCCCUUCAAGUGCACUGAGCUAUGUGACUUUAAUGGUCUUUCAUGUGGCACAUUUGGAUAUUUCCAGAACUAACAUGAGAUGGUUUUGAUGGGAAUUCAUGCAAGAAAGUGAGGAUUCAGAAAUGGUGUAGUGAUCCAGUCCACGUCCUCCCAGCUCACCACCUUGGAGCCCACGGAGCUGGACUGAGAGGGUGCAGAAAGCGGGGGCAACUGGUCCUGACCAGCCCCAGCCCCAUGCGCCUUCCUUGGCCCGUCCUCGGAUCGCCAUGCAAGGCCGAGGUGCAGUGGCCCCCGCUGGCGAGCAGCAGGCAGGCCUCUGGGGCAGCCCCCAGCCUCAGGCCCUCCCUGAGGUCUGCCUGCCACUUGAAGUGACUUGUAUAGGUAGGAAGCACUGAAAAUAGAGUGUUCUCAGAGCACCUUGUAACUCACUGGGUAAGAGGGUAAUACCUUUUGGUUUUUAAAUACCAAUCAUAUGGAACUUUUCUGUCAUGGAUACAAUAAAGACAUUUCUAGAAACACACAGCACAGCAGUCUAAGAUAUAGCACAGCAGGCUAAGAACUUGGUAAGCCUGGCGGGACUUACUGCCAAAAACAAAUCAAAAUUUAAAUUUCAAAAGAAAUCUAAGUUAUAUGAGAAAUUAGCUGGUCACUGUGUUGCCCAAGUCAUCCUUGAGCACCACAGCUUUGCCCCAACUUGGCGGCAGAACUUGAAGGGUUACCGACACGUAAAUGCCAGUGUUUGAUUUCCUGUGUGUGUUGCCUCAGCAUUAAGGGCAUUUUACCCUUGCAGUUUUACUAAAACACUCUGAAAAAUAUUCCAAGCUUCGUAUUAACCUUACCUGUCAAUGUAACGACUUCAUGAACAUUAUUAUAUUGUCAAAUUCCUACUGACAACGUUAUUACUAUAUGGGAGCUUAACUUUAUAAAGAAAUGUAUUUUGACACUGAUAUCUUAUUAAAGUAUUCUGAUCCUACCACUGCUGGUGGCUCUUGUUUCCUGUGGGUUUAUCAUGGGCUACCCUAAUGUAAAGUGAAGUAUUUAUUAAAUAGUUUGUAAAAAA